rnacentral:rRNA from 1 species
AGCGAACGCUGGCGGCAGGCCUAACACAUGCAAGUCGAGCGCCCCGCAAGGGGAGCGGCAGACGGGAGAGUAACACGUGGGAACGUACCCUUCGGUUCGGAACAACCCAGGGAAACUUGGGCUAAUACCGGAUACGUCCGAAAGGAGAAAGAUUUAUCGCCGAGGGAUCGGCCCGCGUCUGAUUAGCUAGUUGGUGGGGUAAUGGCCCACCAAGGCGAGGAUCAGUAGCUGGUCUGAGAGGAUGAUCAGCCUCACUGGGACUGAGACACGGCCCAGACUCCUACGGGAGGCAGCAGUGGGGAAUAUUGGACAAUGGGCGCAAGCCUGAUCCAGCCAUGCCACGUGGGUGAUGAAGGCCCUAGGGUUGUAAAGCCCUUUCGGCGGGGAAGAUAAUGACGGUACCCGCAGAAGAAGCCCCGGCUAACUUCGUGCCAGCAGCCGCCGUAAAAC